rnacentral:rRNA from 1 species
CUCAACCGGGGAACGGCGCAUGAAACUGGCGAACUAGAGUACGGAAGAGGGAGGUGGAAUUCCAGGUGUAGCGGUGAAAUGCGUAGAUAUCUGGAGGAACACCGGUGGCGAAGGCGGCCUCCUGGUCCGAUACUGACGCUGAGACGCGAAAGCGUGGGUAGCAAACAGGAUUAGAUACCCUGGUAGUCCACGCUGUAAACGAUGGGCACUAGGUGUCCGGGGUAUUGACCCCCUGGGUGCCGCAGUUAACGCAUUAAGUGCCCCGCCUGGGGACUACGGUCGCAGGACUAAAACUCAAAGGAAUUGACGGGGGCCCGCACAAGCGGUGGAGCAUGUGGUUCAAUUCGACGCAACGCGAAGAACCUUACCUGGGCUAGACAACGGCGGACCGCCCCAGAGAUGGGGUUUUCCCUUCGGGGACUGC